GACGAACGCUGGCGGCGUGCUUAACACAUGCAAGUCGAACGGAAAGGCCCUGCUUUUGUGGGGUGCUCGAGUGGCGAACGGGUGAGUAACACGUGAGUAACCUGCCCUUGACUUUGGGAUAACUUCAGGAAACUGGGGCUAAUACCGGAUAGCAGCUCCUGCUGCAUGGUGGGGGUUGGAAAGUUUCGGCGGUUGGGGAUGGACUCGCGGCUUAUCAGCUUGUUGGUGGGGUAGUGGCUUACCAAGGCUGUGACGGAUAGCCGGCCUGAGAGGGUGACCGGGGACAAGGGGACUGAGAGAGGGAGCAGAGUCCUACGGGGGACAGCAGUGGGAAAUAUUGCCCAACGGGAGGAAGCCUGAGGCAGAGACGCUGCGUGCGGAAAGCCGGCCUGCGGGUUAAGAACCGCUUUCGCCUAUGACGAAGCGUUAGUGACGGUAAUGAGUAAAGAAGCACCGGCUAACUACGUG
rnacentral:rRNA from 1 species